rnacentral:rRNA from 1 species
GAAUAUUGGACAAUGGGCGCAAGCCUGAUCCAGCCAUACCGCGUGGGUGAAGAAGGCCUUCGGGUUGUAAAGCCCUUUUGUUGGGAAAGAAAAGCAGUCGAUUACUACUCGGUUGUUCUGACGGUACCCAACGAAUAAACCACGGCUAACUUCGUCCCAGCAUCCGCGGUAAUACGAAGGGUGCAAGCGUUACUCGGAAUUACUGGGCGUAAAGCGUGCGUAGGUGGUUGUUUAAGUCUGUUGUGAAAGCCCUGGGCUCAACCUGGGAAUUGCAGUGGAUACUGGGCGACUAGAGUGUGGUAGAGGGUAGUGGAAUUCCCGGUGUAGCAGUGAAAUGCGUAGAGAUCGGGAGGAACAUCCAUGGCGAAGGCAGCUACCUGGACCAACACUGACACUGAGGCACGAAAGCGUGGGGAGCAAACA